rnacentral:rRNA from 1 species
GCCUACCGUGACAACGAGUCUCUUGGGACCCAUAGAAGAGUUUGAUCAUGGCUCAGGACGAACGCUGGCGGCGUGCUUAACACAUGCAAGUCGAACGGAAAGGCCCUGCUUUUGUGGGGUGCUCGAGUGGCGAACGGGUGAGUAACACGUGAGUAACCUGCCCUUGACUUUGGGAUAACUUCAGGAAACUGGGGCUAAUACCGGAUAGGAGCUCCUGCUGCAUGGUGGGGGUUGGAAAGUUUCGGCGGUUGGGGAUGGACUCGCGGCUUAUCAGCUUGUUGGUGGGGUAGUGGCUUACCAAGGCUUUGACGGGUAGCCGGCCUGAGAGGGUGACCGGCCACAUUGGGACUGAGAUACGGCCCAGACUCCUACGGGAGGCAGCAGUGGGGAAUAUUGCACAAUGGGCGGAAGCCUGAUGCAGCAACGCCGCGUGCGGGAUGACGGCCUUCGGGUUGUAAACCGCUUUCGCCUGUGACGAAGCGUGAGUGACGGUAAUGGGUAAAGAAGCACCGGCUAACUACGUGCCAGCAGCCGCGGUGAUACGUAGGGUGCGAGCGUUGUCCGGAUUUAUUGGGCGUAAAGGGCUCGUAGGUGGUUGAUCGCGUCGGAAGUGUAAUCUUGGGGCUUAACCCUGAGCGUGCUUUCGAUACGGGUUGACUUGAGGAAGGUAGGGGAGAAUGGAAUUCCUGGUGGAGCGGUGGAAUGCGCAGAUAUCAGGAGGAACACCAGUGGCGAAGGCGGUUCUCUGGGCCUUUCCUGACGCUGAGGAGCGAAAGCGUGGGGAGCGAACAGGCUUAGAUACCCUGGUAGUCCACGCUGUAAACGGUGGGUACUAGGUGUGGGGUCCAUUCCACGGGUUCCGUGCCGUAGCUAACGCUUUAAGUACCCCGCCUGGGGAGUACGGCCGCAAGGCUAAAACUCAAAGGAAUUGACGGGGCCCCGCACAAGCGGCGGAGCAUGCGGAUUAAUUCGAUGCAACGCGUAGAACCUUACCUGGGUUUGACAUGGAUCGGGAGCGCUCAGAGAUGGGUGUGCCUCUUUUGGGGUCGGUUCACAGGUGGUGCAUGGCUGUCGUCAGCUCGUGUCGUGAGAUGUUGGGUUAAGUCCCGCAACGAGCGCAACCCUUGUUCACUGUUGCCAGCACGUUAUGGUGGGGACUCAGUGGAGACCGCCGGGGUCAACUCGGAGGAAGGUGGGGAUGACGUCAAGUCAUCAUGCCCCUUAUGUCCAGGGCUUCACGCAUGCUACAAUGGCUGGUACAGAGAGUGGCGAGCCUGUGAGGGUGAGCGAAUCUCGGAAAGCCGGUCUCAGUUCGGAUUGGGGUCUGCAACUCGACCUCAUGAAGUCGGAGUCGCUAGUAAUCGCAGAUCAGCAACGCUGCGGUGAAUACGUUCCCGGGGCUUGUACACACCGCCCGUCAAGUCAUGAAAGUUGGUAACACCCGAAGCCGGUGGCCUAACCGUUGUGGGGGAGCCGUCGAAGGUGGGACUGGUGAUUAGGACUAAGUCGUAACAAGGUAACCGUCUAUGGGUCCCAAGAGACUCGUUGUCACGGUA